AGCAGCCGCGGUAAUUCCAGCUCCAAUAGCGUAUAUUAAAGUUGUUGCAGUUAAAAAGCUCGUAGUUGAAUUUCGGGAUCAAUAUAUCGGUCGUGCCAUUGGUACGUACUGGUAUCAUUGGUUUCUCCUUUCUGACGAACCAUGAUGUCAUUAAUUUGGUGUUAUGGGAAGUUAGGACUGUUACUUUAAAAAAAUUAGAGUGUUUAAAGCAGGCUUUAGCUUGAAUACAUUAGCAUGGAAUAAUGAAAUAGGACGUUCGAACCUAUUUUGUUGGUUUCUAGGAUCAACGUAAUGAUUAAUAGGGAUAGUUGGGGGCAUUAGUAUUCAAUUGUCAGAGGUGAAAUUCUUGGAUUUAUUGAAGACUAACUACUGCGAAAGCAUUUGCCAAGGAUGUUUUCAUUAAUCAAGAACGAAAGUUAGGGGAUCGAAGACGAUCAGAUACCGUCGUAGUCUUAACCAUAAACUAUGCCGACUAGGGAUCGGAUGAUGUUAAUUUUUAAUGACUCAUUCGGCGCCUUAC
rnacentral:rRNA from 1 species